GGAUGGUUGGCCGAGCGGUUGAAGGCGCCCGCCUGUAAAGCGGGAGAUCUGAGGUCCAACGGAGGUUCGAAUCCUUCACCAUCCACCA
rnacentral:tRNA from 1 species